ensembl:lncRNA
AAGCAUGGUCUCCGUGCCCCCAGGAAUUCGACCGUUUUGUGGCUUCUUAGCUUAUUUGGCAAUAAAGCGAUGCUCGAAAUAAUGUUUUUCAGAGACUUGGUGCUGUUGCGGAGGAAAGACCCGACCUUGAAGACCUUCAAGGUAGCCAGUCCCUUCCUUCCAGCUGAAAUGAGGACCAGAAGUUUUGACGCUGCCUGGAAAUCUUAAUGUUUCACCUGCAACCCCGGCUCAUUUUCUUUGCAUUUAGGCAUCAACUGAGAAGCCAUGGCUGGCUUCUGAUUUUUCCAUUCUGCCUGUACUUCAUGAGAUGCUACGAUGAACUGAUGCAUCGGCGGGAGAUGGUACAAGCCCGUCCCAGGAUGUCGGUACAAGCCCCUCCCAGGAUGGAGGUGACUUCACGGUGUACCCAGUCUCUUAGAGCAGAGAAACAGACGGCCACGAUCCAGCCACGUGCCCAUCUUCGCUAAACCGUGAUGGGACUGGUAAUCAUUAAAAAAGCGUAACCCUUCACAAUUGUGACAGCUUGUUUCUCUCGUGGCCUGAGUCCGUGUCCGAAAACAUCAGGUCCUCGUCUCUAGAAUCUGGGGAUGUGAUGUUUGUUGGACAAGAAGUCCCUGCAGAGCUCAGCCCUGCCUGAAAAUCCCAGCUAUUCAAGGAAGUCCUUGUCCGUCCAGAUGCCCCGCCCUGCCCAAGCUGUUGCCUGGGAACCCGGAGGCUCUGAAAAUGCUGAGGGAUCGAAGGCGAGUCAGCAGCAGAAACGGGAAACACUCGACCUUUAGAUUCAGGUCAGCGCUCCUCCGAGUCGGUGGAGAGCACAGCGUUCCACGUCCAUCUGGUGUGUCUGCCGAGCAGACCGGGCACGGAAGCACACACAGCCUCUGCCAAAAGACGUCGAUGACGGGUGAGGUCAGCCUUGAGAAUGAUUUUCCAAACGCAUUGGAGCUCCAGAUCAUCCUUUCAGUGCGGAAAGCUGAGAAUUCCAUUAUUAACAGCCUGGAGACGUUUUCUUCUAGGAGCAAAUGGGAAGACGCAAUAGGAGGUGGUGUGGAGUCCCCUCACUCAGAGGGAUGAGGGGUCAGAGGCACAUUCUUUACCAGCUGAGCCAUCAGGGAAACCCGAGAGACGGAACCACUUAAGAAGUCAGGGGCCGUCUUGGUGAGAGUGAUGCGAACUGCCUUGACAAAGACGCCGCAGAAUUUUGUCAACUUAUCGCAGCCGCAGCUGACUCCUCGUUUCAAUUACUCAUCCGUUCCAGGUGUUCCUGCUUGGGGAGAUUUCUUCCAAGUGGGCCUAACUGUAGAGCACAGAAAACUACAUUCAAUAGCCUGUAAUAACCUGUGAGUGGAAAAGAAUCUGAAAAAGCGUGUAUGUGUAACUGAAGCACUCUGCUCACGCUAGAAGCUAACCCAACGAUGUGAAUCUACCAUUCUUCCUGAAACAUCAUUGGCGACAUCCAAAUACGGAUUAAGUGAAGGAUCUGAAAAAGACAAGAGAAUGCAGCUAGUUGGCUAGACAGUACAGAAUGCAGACACCCUUGAUGCCACAGCAAAAUUCCUAAAGGGCCCCAGGAAGUUUCCCUGCAUUCUUCUGCAUUCACUGCUGAGGAAGCAACACCUUUUCCCGUCUCCCCAUUACGGUCAUGGCAUUUGGAGGAACUGGUCGUUGGCAGCCCUCCAGGCUGUGAGGUAAUCAACCCAGAAUAUUUAUCAGAAGGGCUGAUGCUGAAGCGCCAAGACUUUGACCACCUGAUGCAAAGAGCAGACUCAUUAGAAAGCCUCUGAUGCUGGGAAAGAUUGAAGGUGGGAGGGGAAGGGGACGACAGAGGAUGAGAUGGCUGGAUGGCAUCACCGACUCGAUGGACAUGAGUUUGGGGAAACGCCAGGAGCUGGUGAUGGACAGGGAGGCCUAGCGUGCUGCAGUCCAUGGGGUCGCAAAGAGUCGGACACGCCUGAGCCACUGAACAACAGAACCUGUGGGAAAAUGCUAGUAGGUCUGUCUAGUCAAACCUUUGGUUUUUCCAGGAGUCAUGUAUGGAUGUGAGAGUUGGACUGUAAAGAAGGCUGAGCACUGAAGAAUGGGUGCUUUUGAACUGUGGUGUUGGAGAAGACUCUUGAGAGUCCCUUGGACUGCAAGGAGAUCCAACCAGUCCAUCCUAAAGGAGACCAGUCCUGGGUAUUCAUUGGAAGGACUGAUGCUGAAGUUGAAACUCCAGUACUUCGGCCAGCUCAUGCGAAGAGUUGACUCAUUGGAAAAGAUGCUGA